rnacentral:rRNA from 1 species
ACGUACGCUGGCGGCACGCCUAACACAUGCAAGUCGAACGAAGUAGCAAUACUUAGUGGCAGACGGGUGAGUAACAUGUAGGUAUCUGCCCUUUGGCCUGGAAUAACACGAGGAAACUUGUGCUAAUACCGGAUAAGUCUUUACGGAGAAAGCUUUAUGCACCAUUGGAUGAGCCUGCACUUGAUUAGUUUGUUGGUGGGGUAAUGGCCUACCAAGACUGUGAUCAAUAGCUGAUUUGAGAGGAUGAUCAGCCACAUUGGGACUGAGACACGGCCCAAACUCCUACGGGAGGCAGCAGUGGGGAAUCUUGCACAAUGGAGGAAACUCUGAUGCAGCGAUGCCGCGUGAGUGAAGAAGGCCCUUGGGUUGUAAAGCUCUUUCGUCGGGGAAGAAAAUGACUGUACCCGAAUAAGAAGGUCCGGCUAACUUCGUGCCAGCAGCCGCGGUAAUACGAAGGGACCUAGCGUAGUUCGGAAUUACUGGGCUUAAAGAGUUCGUAGGUGGUUGAAAAAGUUAGUGGUGAAAUCCCAGAGCUUAACUCUGGAACUGCCAUUAAAACUUUUCAGCUAGAGUAUGAUAGAGGAAAGCAGAAUUUCUAGUGUAGAGGUGAAAUUCGUAGAUAUUAGAAAGAAUACCGAUUGCGAAGGCAGCUUUCUGGAUCAUUACUGACACUGAGGAACGAAAGCAUGGGUAGCGAAGAGGAUUAGAUACCCUCGUAGUCCAUGCCGUAAACGAUGUGUGUUAGACGUUGGAAAUUUAUUUUCAGUGUCGCAGGGAAACCGAUAAACACACCGCCUGGGGAGUACGACCGCAAGGUUAAAACUCAAAUGAAUUGACGGGGACCCGCACAAGUAGUGGAGCAUGUGGUUUAAUUCGAAGAUACGCGCAGAACCUUACCAACACUUGACAUGUUCGUCGCGACUCUAAGAGAUUAGAGUUUUCGGUUCGGCCGGACGAAACACAGGUGCUGCAUGGCUGUCGUCAGCUCGUGUCGUGAGAUGUUGGGUUAAGUCCCGCAACGAGCGCAACCCUCACUUUUAGUUGCCAUCAUUAAGUUGGGCACUCUGAAAGAACUGCCAGUGAUAAGCUGGAGGAAGGUGGGGAUGACGUCAAGUCCUCAUGGCCCUUACGUGUUGGGCUACACACGUGCUACAAUGGUAUCUACAACAGGAAGCAAGACUGCGAAGUUAAGCAAAUCCCUAAAAGAUACCUCAGUUCGGAUUGCACUCUGCAACUCGAGUGCAUGAAGCUGGAAUUACUAGUAAUCGUGGAUCAGCGUGCCACGGUGAAUGCGUUCCCGGGUCUUGUACACACCGCCCGUC